CACUUGUGGCUCCGCCGCUCUAGCUCUCCGCGGAGUCGCUGCUGCUCGCUGAGGCCCAACCCGUUGCCCAGGCAACAAGGCUCCCGGCAGCCCCCGCGGCCCGGAGUCCAUCCCGCCUCCUCCGGGCUGGCGGGGCUGACGAGUCCUGAGGGGCUGCCGCGGGAGCCUGCAGGUUUCCCUAGAUGAUGAAUAAACAGUCCUUCUGCCUGAAGAACAUCUGUGGAAACCUUGACCAUGGCAUCGAUAUCAGAACCUGUAACAUUCCGAGAAUUCUGCCCUUUGUACUAUCUCCUCAAUGCCAUUCCCACAAAGAUCCAGAGGGGCUUUCGCUCUAUUCUGGUCUACCUCACAGCCCUGGAUGCUAAUGGAGACUACAUUGCAGUGGGCAGCAGCAUUGGCAUGCUCUACCUGUACUGCCGGCACCUCAACCAGAUGAAGAAGUACAACUUUGAAGGGAAGAUGGAGUCUAUCACCGUGGUGAAGCUGCUGAGCUGCUUUGAUGACCUUGUGGCAGCAGGCACCGCCUCUGGGAAGGUGGCAGUUUUCCAACUUGUGUCUUCAUUGCCGGGGAGGAACAAGCAGCUUCGGAGAUUUGAUGUCACUGGUGUUCAUAAAUCCAGCAUUACAGCUCUGGCUUGGAGCCCCAAUGGGAUGAAGCUGUUCUCCGGAGAUGACAAGGGGAAGAUCGUCUACUCCUCUCUAGAUCUAGAUCAGGGUACCUGCAGCUCACACCUUGUGUUGGAAGAGCCGUCUUCCAUUGUGCAGCUGGAUUACAGCCAAAAGGUGCUGCUCGUGUCGACCUUGCAGAGGAGCCUGCUCUUUUACACAGAGGAACAGGCUGUCAAGCAAAUUGGAUCCCAGCCACGGAAAAGUACUGGGAAAUUUGGUGCUUGUUUUAUACCAGGACUGUGUAAGCAAAGUGACCUCACCCUGUAUGCAGCCCGGCCUGGGCUACGGCUGUGGAAGGCCGAUGUCCAUGGGACGGUUCAAGCCACGUUUAUCCUCAAGGAUGUCUUUGCUGGAGGAGUCACACCUUUUGAGCUCUACCCUCGUCUGGAGCCUGAUGGGGGAAGCUGCAGCUCACCUGAGAAACACCUGGGGCUCGUUUCGUGCUUCUUCCGAGAAGGCUGGGUGCUGAGCUGGAAUGAGUACAGUAUCUAUCUUCUGGAUACCGUCAACCAGGCCACUGUUGCUGGUUUGGAAGGACUGGGUGAUAUUGUGUCUGUUUCCUGCACAGAAAAUGAAAUAUUUUUCCUAAAGGGAGAUAGGAACAUUAUAAGGAUUUCAAGCAGGCCUGAAGGGCUCGGAUCCAUAGUGAGAGAUGGUCUGGAGACAAGAUGUUCAGAGCAGGUCCGUGGGCAGCAUUUGGAGAAGUCACUGGGGGCCACUGUUUGUGAGACAAGACUUCGAGGCUCUUCUGUGGCCAGUUCUGUGGCCAGUGAGCAACGGAGCAGGAGCAGCUCACUCAACUCCACGGACAGUGGCUCUGGGCUGCUGUUGCCUGGACUUCAGGCUGCCCCUGAGCUGGACCAGGGUAGCCAGCCAUCCUCACAGAGAUUCAGUAUUAUCAGUUCUGAAGACUUUGACCAGGAGCUCAUUGUGAAACCCAUCAAAGUGAAGAAGAGGAGGAGGAAGAGAAAGACAGAAGGUGGAACCAAGAGCACCUGCCACAGUUCCCUCGAGUCAACUCCCUGCUCCGAAUUCCCUGGUGACAGCCCCCAGUCCUUGAACACAGACCUCCUGUCCAUGACCUCAAGUGCUCUUGGCAGUAGUGUGGAUCAGUUGAGCACAGGGUCUCCAGACCAGGAGAGCAACCCCAGUGCUGAGGUGAAUGGGAUCCUGCAGGAAGACAAUGGCUCUGAAACGUUCAGUGUCCUAGGGGUUCCUGAAUCUGCCCUUGACCCAGUGGAUGAAGAAAAUGGUACGAGAAAGGAACCUUCCCAGUGUGAGCACACACAGGACAUGGACCUGCUCAAUGGAGGAGGUAGUGAUAUCAUCUCAGGACUUGAAGAGGAGCCUGCUCCUGCUGAUGAUGCAGCAGGACAUACACAGUUAUACCUGAGAAAUAUACAGGAGAGCUCUGCUGAGGCCCGGGAAGUGAACACCAUGGUAUUCAGUGAUCCCCAAAGCACUUUUUCUGAAGCCCCUCUUCUGGACUCACUUAUGGUACCUUCCAGCCUCAGCUGGCCCCCGGGUGCUGAGCAGUGGCUGCCUGGGAUUGGAGUUUAUGAAGUCCACACUGAAGAGACCAGCCCAGAGCCGGAUAUCCUGACCCAUGUGGAGGUCCCUAGCCACCCGAGCUCAAAUCCUUGGCAUGUAGUCACUGAUAAUGACACAAAUCAGAAAGAAAUACUCACUUCUGAAUGUGCCAUAGGAAAUGUGGAAGGACAGGUGACUCCUCUUACAUCUGCCUUGGUGGCCAGCACCCAUGAGCAUUGGCUGAACCAACCUUUCCAGGAUCAGGCAGCGACAUCCAGUGAUGAGGAAGACAUUUAUGCCCAUGGGCUCCCAUCUUCAUCCUCAGAGACGAGUGUGGCAGAGCUUGGAGCUGGUCGCUCUCUGCAGGACCUGAGCCAGCUGGGGACUGAUGACACCACACUGCUCAAGACAGAUCAGUUUGCAGAGAGCUGGAUGGGCUACUCGGGUCCUGGCUAUGGCAUCCUCAGCUUGGCGGUCUCGGAAAAGUUUAUCUGGUGCCUGGACUACAAAGGUGGCCUGUUCUGCAGUGCCCUGCCUGGUGCAGGGCUGCGCUGGCAGAGGUUUGAAGAUGCUGUCCAGCAGGUGGCAGUCUCUCCCUCAGGGGCUCUUCUCUGGAAGAUUGAGCAGAAAUCUAACCGUGCUUUUGCUUGUGGCAAAGUUACCAUCAAGGGAAAGCGGCACUGGUAUGAGGCUCUGCCCCAGGCUGUGUUUGUGGCCCUGAGUGAUGACACAGCCUGGAUCAUCAGGACCAAUGGAGAUCUGUACCUUCAGACAGGUCUCAGUGUGGAUCGGCCCUGUGCCCGAGCCAUGAAGGUCGACUGUCCUUACCCACUGUCCCAGAUCACUGCCCGGAACAGUGUGGUUUGGGCACUGACAGAGCAGAGGGCCCUCCUGUACCGGGAGGGCGUGAGCAGCUUCUGUCCUGAAGGGGAGCAGUGGAAGUGUGAUAUUGUCAGUGAAAGGCAAACUCUGGAGCCUGUCUGCAUAACUCUCGGAGAUCAGCACACACUCUGGGCCCUGGACAUUCAUGGGAAGCUGUGGUUCAGAACUGGUGUGAUUCCCAAGAAGCCCCAAGGAGAUGAUGACCAUUGGUGGCAGGUGAGCAUCACAGACUAUGUGGUGUUCGACCAGUGCAGCUUGUUCCAGACCAUCAUGCAUGCCACACACUCAGUAGCGACAGCAGCUCAAGCCCCUGUGGAGAAGGUAGCAGAUAAACUGCGGAUGGCAUUCUGGUCUCAGCAGCUUCAGUGCCAGCCCAGCCUGCUAGGGGUUAACAACAGUGGCGUCUGGAUCUCCUCAGGCAAGAAUGAAUUCCAUGUUGCCAAAGGAAGUCUCAUAGGAACUUACUGGAAUAACGUUGUUCCCCGAGGAACAGCUUCAGCUACAAAAUGGGCCUUUGUGUUGGCUUCUCCUGCCCCUACCCAGGAUGGUGAGUCAGUCUUAGCCUGUCUGAGAAACCUGGUGGACAAGUCUGUCAGCAGCUGAAAAGUCCAGACCGUCAUCUGACUGUGGCCCUGUGGCUGUGGAGAUGUGGCCUCAUAGACCUUGAAAUAUGACCAUGUUCUGCGGCGCUAGCAGCCCUGUGAGCUAAACUGAGGGCUUUUAGUGGAUAGGUGUGUUCAGGGGAGCCACUGAGGGGGAGCAAGGGUGGUAAGGCUGAAUCUGAGAUGGUGUCCUUUGGAAGGAGGUCCCAUGCAGUGCGAUCCUAGGAGCUGGCAGCAGAUGACUCUUACUGUCAGUUUGCGUGGCCAUAACUUCCCAAGUUUCUUUUUCAUUUCUUCUGGAGAAUUCUGUCACCUCCAAGCAGCUUCCUUCUCCCAUGUUUCUUGCUGCUGGCUCCCCUUUACUUGUGAAGGUCUCAUACCUCAGGCUUGUCUUAUCCCUGCAGAGGUGGGGCUCCUGCUGCAGAGCCACCCAGUUAGCUGGGGACCCUAGGCAGGCAGGUGGUCUGUUUGGGAAGGAGCCAGAACCUCUUCCAGGGCUUUUGUGGAAGGUGAGAAAUGAGAAAGUGCCGUGAUACCUAUGAUGAAGAGGAAACAGUUUGAUCCACUGAAGCCAUCAGUUGCCCAGCACUGAAUAACUUGCUUCAUUAUAGUAAACACUUACCCACUGGACUAUACUGAUCACAGUCCUACCUGGAGUCUCAUAAGAUGGUAAGUUGUUUCCUGAGUCUGACCCAACUGCUUUUGGUAGCAGCACCUGACCCUAGCUGGAGGGAGGUGGCCUGCAGCCUUCACUGAUAGCAUGCUCUGGCAUGCACAUGCACUACUUCCCUGGGGAGCUCCUGGCACUUCUGGCUGACUCUUUGACUAUUUUAUCAAGAUCUUUGUUUGUUUGUUUGUUGCUUUUCAAGACAUGGUCUCACCGUGUAGCCCUGGCUGUCCUGGAACUUGCUGUGUAGACCAGGCUGGCCUGGAACUCAGAACUCAGAGAUCCACCUGCCUCUGCCUCCUGAGUGCUGGGACUAAAGGCCUGCACUGCCACUGCCAGCCAAAGUUCUUAAAUUUAAAAAAAAGGGGGGGGGGCUUGGAGAGACGGCUCCAUGGUUAAGAGCACUGUAUACUUUUCCAGAGGACAUGGGUUUGAAUCCCAGCACCCUUAUGGCAGCUCACAAUUGUCUCAAAUUCCAGUUCCAAGAGAUACCUGUAAUACCUUCUGCCCUCCAUGGCGUGGGUACCAGGUACAAACAUGAUGCAUGUAUACAUGCAGAUAAAACGUUCACAUACAUAAAAUGAAAAGAAACAAAUUUAAAAAAAAAAAAAAAAAGCUCAAAGAAAAAGAAUUCCAAAACAUCUGGCCACAGUGUUAGAUAAUACUUUACAUUACACAGUGUAGCCAGGUUUUCAGUCCCCAAGGAUGAUUGGCAUUUCAAACAGACACUGGUUUUUUUGGUUUUUUUUUUGGUUUUUCGAGACAGGGUUUCUCUGUGUAGCUUUGCGCCUUUCCUGGGACUCACUUGGUAGCCCAGGCUGGCCUCGAACUCACAGAGAUCCGCCUGGCUCUGCCUCCCGAGUGCUGGGAUUAAAGGCGUGCGCCACCACCGCCCGGCUCAAACAGACACUGUUAACCUGAAAGUUCUGAACAACAGAGCACUGCAAGCAUAACUCUUAAGGCCAAGGUAGGAGAAGGAUUUCUGCCUUAUUGAAGAGCAGCCCACUGCACACCCCAUUAGCAGAGGAACUAGAGAAGCGCCUUCCCAGGGACUGCUGGCCCCUCUCCUUCCUGGCUAUUGACAAGGUUGACAGCCCUAAUACUCUGUAUUAAAAAUACACUCUGAGUAUUCCUUCAUUCAUAUUCCUAGGCCACUACCCCAGCCAUCUCGCCUUCAUAAUGUUUCAUAGGCCCUGCUUUCUUUCCAGUUCUUUAAAAUGUCUCAGGCUUGAUCUCUCUGAUGUCUGGUGGUGGCAUUCCUUCUAGCCUCACAGGUAUAACACACCUACUGCAGCCUGUGAGCUCACGGAAGCUCCCUGUGGCUGUGCCAGAGCAGCAAGGACCUGUGCAGCAUCAGUGCCCAGAGUGUGCAGUGCCGCCCCUCCACAGUGCAGUUGCCCCCCGACGCCGAGAUGAGGACCU